AAAUUACCCGCUCAAUUCAAUUCCAAUUUCGCCACACUCACAGCCAAACAAUGACCUACAGUUGUUUCCCAAAGCUCUUAAACGUACUCAGAAAAGCCCGCUACCUAAUCGGCAUCGCUACUCUUGCCACCACUACCACCACGUCUGCCGCCGCCCUUGCUCCCAAAAUCUCUACCAUGGAAGCAAACCUACAGACUCUAAAAACCCGCCUCUGUAUCGUCGGCAGUGGCCCAGCUGCCCAUACAGCUGCCAUCUAUGCGGCCCGUGCGGAGCUCCAACCCAUUCUCUUUGAGGGCUGGAUGGCAAAUGAUAUCGCCCCCGGUGGGCAGCUCACUACUACGUCUGAAGUUGAAAAUUUUCCGGGUUUUUCUGAUGGGAUCGGCGGGAUAGAGCUUAUGGAUCGGUUCCGCGCUCAAUCGGUCCGGUUCAGAACCGAAAUCUUCACUGAAACUGUCUCUAAAGUCGACUUUUCGACCUCUCCUUUUAAAAUCUUUAGCGACUCUAAGACUGUGCUUGCUGAUUCUGUCAUAAUUGCUACCGGGGCAGUCGCCAAACGCCUCCACUUCCCUGGUUCUGAGGAGUUCUGGAACCGUGGCAUCUCAGCCUGCGCGGUCAGUGACGGUGCCGCUCCUAUCUUCCGUAACAAACCUCUUGCUGUCAUUGGUGGCGGGGACUCUGCCAUGGAAGAAGCCACCUUUUUAACUAAAUAUGGCUCUAAGGUUUACAUUAUCCACCGAAGAGAUGAAUUUAGGGCUUCGAAGAUUUUGCAGAGCAGAGCUUUGUCAAACCCAAAGAUUGAAGUCUUGUGGAAUUCCACGGUGACAGAGGCGUACGGGGAGAGAUCUUUGGGGGGUUUGAAGGUAAAGAAUGUCGUGGGUGGGGAGGUUACUGACUUGAACGUUUCUGGGUUGUUUUUUGCGAUUGGACAUGAGCCGGCAACCAAGUUUUUGGACGGGCAGCUGGCGGUGGAUUCUGAUGGGUAUGUGGUAACGAAGCCUGGAACCACUCAUACUAGCGUCAAGGGCGUAUUUGCUGCUGGUGAUGUUCAGGAUAAGAAGUACAGACAGGCUAUUACUGCCGCUGGCUCAGGAUGCAUGGCAGCCCUAGAUGCAGAACAUUACCUGCAAGAAAUUGGUGCUCAAGAGGGCAAGAGUGAUUGAACAAUGAAGCUCUUCAAGUGGAAUAACUUUGAAUUAUUGUCAGCUCCUUUAAAGUUUAUAAAUUAUAAACACGUGCAUAAUCUGGCUGCUCGUGCAAGUUUUUGGCUGUGUAAUGCAUGGGACGUGGUGUGGCUCGCUUUUGCUGAGCUCUCAGGAGACAUGGAUGGUCUAACACAUUUCGACACCUUCAUCUUAGCUUAUUACUGUUUGUGAAAAAACUGAACGUGGUCCGAUCGACCUUGUAUCUAAGGUCAACCCCUUAACAGAUGAUUGACUUAGUUUUCUUACUGUAGAUUUUGGUAGAUUUUGGCUGCCUAACAUAUUUAUGAGUUGAAAAACAUACAUGAAAGUCAUAGUCCUAGAUAUUUAAUCAUGCUACUUGUACAAUGUAUAAUUUG